AUUCAAAUAGCUUAAAUUUAUAAAGCGUAGUAUUGAAGAUACUAAGAUAAUUAUAUUUUUGAAUA
rnacentral:tRNA from 1 species